rnacentral:lncRNA from 1 species
GUAUCUAAAAUUAGUUUGUUUUGAUAAUGAGCAAUACUCAUACUGUAAAAAAAUGUAAAAUUGGAAUUACAUUUUGAUACAAAAGUCCUUGGCAUGAUUAGAUUUUUUUUAAUCUAUAAUAAAUCAUAAAUAAAUAUGAUAAAAGUACUAAAGAGUUGUGAAAGAUACCAAAUGGACCUACAAAACUCAUAAGUCGAAAAUAAACUGGCCACGUCAUGUAUAAAGAAGAAAAAUACAAACAAUAACACAAUAAAACACAAAACGCAGCAGUUUCAUAAUCAAAUGUCAUUCAUGUGUGACGGACAGUUCGUGGUUCUGUUGUGCUGCUUUUGUGUGCUGUCCGAGGUUGUUUUACGUGUUCGUUGUUAUAUUGGAGUUAGCAUAUCGAAAUGUACUAUUGUAAUGUUUAUUGGUGAAUUUCUCUGUCCUGAAUGAUCUUUCAUGUAUUUGUUCUGUACUCC